GUGCAAGUCCCUACCGGCGGUAAAGCCCGCGAGCCGUAAGGCCGAUUCGGUGAGAUUCCGAAGCCGACAGUAUAGUCUGGAUGGAAGAAGAUGG
rnacentral:ncRNA from 1 species